rnacentral:rRNA from 1 species
GACGAACGCUGGCGGCGUGCCUAAUACAUGCAAGUAGAACGCAGUUGCGAACUGGUGAGUAACGCGUAGGUAACUGCCUCAUAGCGGGGGAUAACUAUUGGAAACGUUAUCUAAUACCGCAUACUGUGAGAUGGACCUGCGUUGUAUUAGCUAGUUGGUGGGGUAAAGGCGCACCAAGGCGACGAUACAUAGCCGACCUGAGAGGGGGAUCGGCAAAAAGGGGACUGAGAAACGGGCCAGACUCCUACGGGAGGCAGCAGUAGGGAAUCAUCGGCAAUGGACGGAAGUCUGACCGAGCAACGGCGGGUGAGGGGAGAAGGGUUUCGGAUCGUAAAGCUCUGUUGUUAGAGAAGCGGUAACUAAACAGAAAGGGACGGCUAACUACGUGCCAGCAGCCGCGGUAAUAC